CAAUAGCGUAUAUUAAAGUUGAUGCAGUUAAAAAGCUCGUAGUUGGAUUUCUGGUGGGAGCGAUCGGUCUGGCGCUUAGCGCGAGUACUUGCAUCGUCUCCGGCCACCCUUGGGGAGAGUCUGUCUGGCAUUAGGUUGUCGGGCAGAGGAUCCUCAUCGUUUACUGUGAAAAAAUUAGAGUGUUCAAAGCAGGCUUAUGCCGUUGAAUAUAUUAGCAUGGAAUAAUAAGAUAGGACUUUGGUACUAUUUUGUUGGUUUGCGCACCAAAGUAAUGAUUAAUAGGGACAGUUGGGGGUAUUCGUAUUCCGUUGUCAGAGGUGAAAUUCUUGGAUUUACGGAAGACGAACUACUGCGAAAGCAUUUACCAAGGAUGUUUUCAUUAA
rnacentral:rRNA from 1 species